CCUACGGGUGGCAGCAGUAGGGGAUAUUACUCAAUGGGGGAAACCCUGAUGCAGCAACGCCGCGUGGGGGAUGAAGCUUUUCGGAUCGUAAACUCCUUUUGUGAGGGAAGAUAAUGACGGUAUCUCAAGAAUAAGCACCGGCUAACUCCGUGCCAGCAGCCGCGGUAAUACGGAGGGUGCAAGCGUUAUCCGGAAUCACUGGGCGUAAAGAGUGCGCAGGCGGGCUUGUAAGUCAGAUGUGAAAUCCUGUAGCGUAACUACAGAACUGCAUUUGAAACUAUGAGUCUAGAGUGUGGGAGGGGCAGGUGGAAUUCUUGGUGUAGGGGUAAAAUGCGUAGAUAUCAAGAGGAAGACUCAUGGCGAAGGCGACCUGCUGGAA
rnacentral:rRNA from 1 species